rnacentral:rRNA from 1 species
AGUGAACGCUGGCGGCGUGCUUAACACAUGCAAGUCGAACGAGAGAAGCUGGUGCUUGCACUAGCCUAUCUAGUGGCAUACGGGUGAGUAAUACAUGGGAAUCUACCUUGUAGUACAGAAUAACUACUGGAAACAGUAGCUAAUACUGUAUAUUGCCGAGAGGUGAAAGAUUUAUCGCUACAAGAUGAGCCCAUGCGAGAUUAGCUUGUUGGUGGGGUAAUGGCCUACCAAGGCUGCGAUCUUUAGCUGGUCUGAGAGGAUGAUCAGCCACACUGGAACUGAGACACGGUCCAG